CCCAUCUCAGGAGCUCACCUGGAGAGUUUCCAGUACUCUACCAGUCUCGGCUAUGGGAGGGAGAGUCAAGCAGAGGCCUACCCAUUCCAUUCCUAGCUUGGGCAGUGGCUAGUGAAUGGAAGAAAAUCUGCUACAAGU
rnacentral:snoRNA from 2 species